UGCAGUCGAACGGCAGCGGGGGCUUCGGCCUGCCGGCGAGUGGCGAACGGGUGAGUAAUGCAUCGGAACGUACCCAGUCAUGGGGGAUAACUACGCGAAAGCGUGGCUAAUACCGCAUACGCCCUGAGGGGGAAAGCGGGGGAGUCUUUCGGGACCCUCGCGUGAUUGGAGCGGCUGAUGUCGGAUUAGCUUGUUGGUGGGGUAAAGGCCUACCAAGGCGACGAUCCGUAGCUGGUCUGAGAGGAUGAUCAGCCACACUGGGACUGAGACACGGCCCAGACUCCUACGGGAGGCAGCAGUGGGGAAUUUUGGACAAUGGGCGCAAGCCUGAUCCAGCCAUGCCGCGUGAGUGAAGAAGGCCUUCGGGUUGUAAAGCUCUUUCAGUCGGGAAGAAACGGCGCGCUCUAACAUAGCGUGUUAAUGACGGUACCGACAGAAGAAGCACCGGCUAACUACGUGCCAGCAGCCGCGGUAAUACGUAGGGUGCGAGCGUUAAUCGGAAUUACUGGGCGUAAAGCGUGCGCAGGCGGUUCGCUAAGACAGGUGUGAAAUCCCCGGGCUCAACCUGGGAAUGGCGCUUGUGACUGGCGGGCUAGAGUACGGCAGAGGGGGGUGGAAUUCCACGUGUAGCAGUGAAAUGCGUAGAGAUGUGGAGGAACACCGAUGGCGAAGGCAGCCCCCUGGGCCGAUACUGACGCUCAUGCACGAAAGCGUGGGGAGCAAACAGGAUUAGAUACCCUGGUAGUCCACGCCCUAAACGAUGUCGACUAGUCGUUCGGAGAGGUAACUUUCUGAGUGACGCAGCUAACGCGUGAAGUCGACCGCCUGGGGGAGUACGGUCGCAAGAUUAAAACUCAAAGGAAUUGACGGGGACCCGCACAAGCGGUGGAUGAAUGUGGAUUAAUUCGAUGCAACGCGAAAAACCUUACCUACCCUUGACAUGCCUGGAACUUGCCAGAGAUGGCUUGGUGCCUUCGGGAGCCAGGACACAGGUGCUGCAUGGCUGUCGUCAGCUCGUGUCGUGAGAAGGUUGGGGUUAAGUCCCGCAACGAGCGCAACCCUUUGUCGUUAAUUGCCAUCAUUUGAGUUGGGGA
rnacentral:rRNA from 1 species